rnacentral:lncRNA from 1 species
CUCACACACUCCACGUAUCAUCACAGAAAUAAUCUGACUCACUCACACACUCCACGUAUCAUCACAGAAAGAGACUGGCUCACACACUCCACGUAUCAUCACAGAAAGAGACUGACUCACACACUCCACAUAUCAUCACAGAAAGAGACUGUCACACUCACACACUCCACGUAUCAUCACAGAAAGAGACUGGCUCACUCACACACUCCACGUAUCAUCACAGAAAGAGACUGACUCACUCACACACUCCACGUAUCAUCACAGAAAGAGACUGACUCACUCACACACUCCACAUAUCAUCACAGAAAGACACUGGCUCACUCACACACUCCACGUAUCAUCACAGAAAGAGACUGACUCACUCACACACUCCACGUAUCAUCACAGAAAGAGACUGACUCACUCACACACUCCACGUAUCAUCACAGAAAGAGACUCACUCACACACUCCACGUAUCAUCACAGAAAGAGACUGACUCACUCACACACUCCACGUAUCAUCACGGAAAGAGACUGGCUCACUCACACACUCCACGUAUCAUCACAGAAAGAGACUGGCUCACUCACACACCACGUAUCAUCACAGAAAGAGACUGACUCACUCACACACUCCACGUAUCAUCACAGAAAGAGACUGACUCACUCACACACUCCACGUAUCAUCACAGAAAGAGACUGACUCACACACUCCACGUAUCAUCACAGAAAGAGACUGACUCACUCACACACUGCACGUAUCAUCACAGAAAGAGACUGGCUCACUCACACACUCCACGUAUCAUCACAGAAAGAGACUGGCUCACUCACACACUCCAUGUAUCAUCACAGAAAGAGACUGGCUCACUCACACACUCCACGUAUCAUCACAGAAAGAUAUUGACUCACUCACACACUCCACGUAUCAUCACAGAAAGAGACUGGCUCACACACUCCACGUAUCAUCACAGAAAGAGACUGACUGACACACUCCACGUAUCAUCACAGAAAGAGACUGACUCACUCACACACUCCACGUAUCAUCACAGAAAGAGACUGACUCACACACUCCACGUAUCAUCACAGAAAGAGACUGACUCACUCACACACUCCACGUAUC